rnacentral:rRNA from 1 species
UCCGGUGGCGAUAGCGAUCGUGAACCACCCGUUCCCAUUCCGAACACGGAAGUGAAACCGAUUAGCGCCGAUGGUACUUGGGGUGCAAACCCCUGGGAGAGUAGGACACUGCCGGGU